rnacentral:rRNA from 1 species
AGCAGUCGCCGCGGGAAUACGAAGGGGGCUAGCGUUGCUCGGAAUUACUGGGCGUAAAGGGCGCGUAGGCGGAUAUUUAAGUUGGGGGUGAAAGCCCGGGGCUCAACCUCGGAAUUGCCUUCAAUACUGGAUAUCUUGAGUUCGGGAGAGGUGAGUGGAAUGCCGAGUGUAGGGGUGAAAUUCGUAGAUAUUCGGCGGAACACCAGUGGCGAAGGCGACUCACUGGCCCGAUACUGACGCUGAGGCGCGAAAGCGUGGGGAGCAAACAGGAUUAGAUACCCCAGUAGUCCCUGUCUCUUAUAC